rnacentral:sRNA from 1 species
AAACGCAAGUUCAAUAUGUUGCACAUGUUGACAGUUUUGCCAUUUUAGAGAAGAUGGAUCAACAUGGAUAUAUGAGCUACAAUCAGCAAUCUACACAUCAGAAACCGGUUCAGCAAUCUACAAGCUUCACUCCGACUUAUGCUUCUUCAACCCAAGCCCACUGAUAAUAGGUUUUUAGUCAAUUGUCCUAAAACACCAAUCAUGUCGUUGUAGUAUUUUAGGUGUCAAUCCAAAUGGGUGUGAUGCAAACAGAUGAGAUGUGAUCAGAAGUCACUAAGUCAAGCCAAGCAAUAACAGUUUUGGGGUUUCUAACAGUCCUAGUGAACAUGCAGAAAACAGAAACAAUAACAGAAUUAGUAAAAUCACUCGACCACAACAGGCUGAUGCCAGAAGUAGGAUGUGGCCGAGUAACAGGCAGGAUAUGAAACAGAUAUACUCGACUGCACAGUCUGUUGCCAGACACUGGGUGUGGUCGAGUAAGUUGAUCGAGUGAUUGCAAAAACAAAGAAACAAGCAAUGAGAACGAUUAAGUGAUAACGAUAAAACAGAGAAAUCAGAUAGACGAGAAAUUCCUAAGGAUGGGGUAAUCGAAUAGAGUGGUAUCCUAGCCUAUCCGAAUGAUUAACAAGCGCAAUCAAGCUAUCCCUAGACAACAGGUUCAACAACAGAUCAAUUCACUCCCGUGAUAGAAAUCCUCAAGCAAAGCUAGCCCAGACUAAUUCCUAUUAACGAAAUCUAACUAUGCAGGCAAUAAGAACAGACUGAUAAUCUCAAUAAAUGCUCUAAACGGCCAAUCCCUUGGGAUAGAGACAAAUAUCUCAGGAACUAGUGGAUCAAGCAUUCCAUCGAACACCUUUUGGGUGCGGGAAUGCUUGGGAUCGAAUUCCAGUUGAUCAAAAAUA